rnacentral:rRNA from 1 species
GAUGAACGCUGGCGGCGUGCUUAACACAUGCAAGUCGAACGAAACACCUUAUUUGAUUUUCUUCGGAACUGAAGAUUUGGUGAUUGAGUGGCGGACGGGUGAGUAACGCGUGGGUAACCUGCCCUGUACAGGGGGAUAACAGUCAGAAAUGACUGCUAAUACCGCAUAAGACCACAGCACCGCAUGGUGCAGGGGUAAAAACUCCGGUGGUACAGGAUGGACCCGCGUCUGAUUAGCUGGUUGGUGAGGUAACGGCUCACCAAGGCGACGAUCAGUAGCCGGCUUGAGAGAGUGAACGGACACAUUGGGACUGAGACACGGCCCAAACUCCUACGGGAGGCAGCAGUGGGGAAUAUUGCACAAUGGGGGAAACCCUGAUGCAGCGACGCCGCGUGAGUGAAGAAGUAUUUCGGUAUGUAAAGCCCUAUCAGCAGGGAAGAAAAUGACGGUACCUGACUAAGAAGCCCCGGCUAACUACGUG